rnacentral:rRNA from 1 species
AUUGAACGCUGGCGGCAUGCUUUACACAUGCAAGUCGAACGGUAACAGGCCGCAAGGUGCUGACGAGUGGCGAACGGGUGAGUAAUGCAUCGGAACGUGCCCAGUCGUGGGGGAUAACGCAGCGAAAGCUGCGCUAAUACCGCAUACGAGCUAUGGAUGAAAGCGGGGGACCGUAAGGCCUCGCGCGAUUGGAGCGGCCGAUGUCAGAUUAGGUAGUUGGUGGGGUAAAGGCUCACCAAGCCAACGAUCUGUAGCUGGUCUGAGAGGACGACCAGCCACACUGGGACUGAGACACGGCCCAGACUCCUACGGGAGGCAGCAGUGGGGAAUUUUGGACAAUGGGCGCAAGCCUGAUCCAGCAAUGCCGCGUGCAGGAAGAAGGCCUUCGGGUUGUAAACUGCUUUUGUACGGAACGAAACGGUCCUGGUUAAUACCUGGGGCUAAUGACGGUACCGUAAGGAUAAGCACCGGCUAACUACGUGCCAGCCGCCGCUGUAAAAC